UACGUAGGGUGCAAGCAUUAAUCGGAAUCAUUGGGCGUAAAGCGCGUGUAGGCGGCUUGGCAAGUCGGAUGUGAAAUCCCGGGGCUCAACCCCGGAACUGCAUUCGAAACUGCCUCGCUAGAGUCCCGGAGAGGAGGGCGGAAUUCCCGGUGUAGAGGUGAAAUUCGUAGAUAUCGGGAGGAACACCAGUGGCGAAGGCGGCCCUCUGGACGGUGACUGACGCUGAGAUGCGAAAGCGUGGGGAGCAAACAGG
rnacentral:rRNA from 1 species